GCAGCGGAGCGUGUGGUUUAAUUCGAUGAUACACGAAGAACCUUACCAGGGUUUGACGAUGCUAGUGUAGGGAUCCGAAAGGUGACCGACCCUCGGGGAGCUAGCACAGGUGCUGCAUGGCUGUCGUCAGCUCGUGUCGUGAGAUGUUGGGUUAAGUCCCGCAACGAGCGCAACCCUUGUCUUUAGUUGCCAUCAUUAAGUUGGGCACUCUAAAGAGACUGCCGAUGACAAAUCGGAGGAAGGUGGGGAUGACGUCAAAUCAUCAUGCCCUUUAUGUCCUGGGCUACACACGUGCUACAAUGGUCGGUACAACGAGAAGCAAGUCAGCGAUGGCAAGCAAAUCUCUAAAAGCCGAUCCCAGUUCGGAUUGCAGGCUGCAACUCGCCUGCAUGAAGUCGGAGUUGCUAGUAAUCGCGGAUCAGAAUGCCGCGGUGAAUGCGUUCCCGGGUCUU
rnacentral:rRNA from 2 species